rnacentral:misc_RNA from 1 species
CGAGCGUCAUUUAAACCUUCAAGCUCAGCUUGGUGUUGGGUGUCUGUCCCGCCUCGGCGCGGACUCGCCUUAAAUUCAUUGGCGGCCGGUACAUUGGCUUCGAGCGCAGCAGAAACGCGAACUCGUUGACAAUGGAUUGCUCCCAGAAGCUAUUUUCUAUUUUUGACCUCGGAUCAGGUAGGGAUACCCGCUGAACUUAA